rfam:Schistosoma curassoni strain Dakar, Senegal genome assembly, scaffold: SCTD_scaffold0000467
CUAAUAACUCCGCCUGUAGCUUUUAUAGGGUUGCUGCCGGUCCCAAGCCCGGGUAAAGGAGGAGGGUUGG